rnacentral:rRNA from 1 species
CGGGAAAAGCUCAAAUUUAAAAUCUGGCGUGCCUUUGGCCGUCCGAGUUGUAGUCUGGAGAAGUGUUUUCUGUGCCGGACCGUGUACAAGUCCCUUGGAACAGGGCCUCAUAGAGGGUGAGAAUCCCGUCUUUGACACGGACUACCGGUGCUCUGUGAUGCGCUCUCAACGAGUCGAGUUGUUUGGGAAUGCAGCUCAAAAUGGGUGGUAAAUUCCAUCUAAAGCUAAAUAUAGGCGAGAGACCGAUAGCGAACAAGUACCGUGAGGGAAAGAUGAAAAGCACUUUGGAAAGAGAGUUAAACAGUACGUGAAAUUGCUGAAAGGGAAACGCUUGAAGUCAGUCAUGUCUGCCAGGACUCAGCUUUGCAUUUUUUGCUUGGUGCACUUUCUGGUUGAUGGGCCAGCGUCGAUUUUGACCGUUGGAGAAAGGUGGAGGAAAUGUGGCACCUUUCGAGGUGUGUUAUAGUCCUCUGCUGUAUGUGACGGUUGGGAUCGAGGACCGCAGCACGCCUUUAUGGCCGGGGGUCACACCCACGUUACGUGCUUAGGAUGCUGGCUUAAUGGCUUUAAGCGACCCGUCUUGAAACACGGACCAAGGAGUCUAACUUGCCUGCGAGUGUUUGGGUGGAAAACCCAAGCGCGCAAUGAAAGUGAUAGUUGAGACCUCUGUCGUGGAGGGCAUCGACGCCCGGACUUGAUCUACGGAGACGGUUCUGCGGUAGAGCAUGCAUGUUGGGACCCGAAAGAUGGUGAACUAUGCCUGAAUAGGGUGAAGCCA